CCUACGGGAGGCAGCAGUGGGGAAUUUUGGACAAUGGGCGAAAGCCUGAUCCAGCAAUGCCGCGUGAGUGAAGAAGGCCUUCGGGUUGUAAAGCUCUUUUGUCAGGGAAGAAACGGUGAGAGCUAAUAUCUCUUGCUAAUGACGGUACCUGAAGAAUAAGCACCGGCUAACUACGUGCCAGCAGCCGCGGUAAUACGUAGGGUGCAAGCGUUAAUCGGAAUUACUGGGCGUAAAGCGUGCGCAGGCGGUUUUGUAAGUCUGAUGUGAAAUCCCCGGGCUCAACCUGGGAAUUGCAUUGGAGACUGCAAGGCUAGAAUCUGGCAGAGGGGGGUAGAAUUCCACGUGUAGCAGUGAAAUGCGUAGAUAUGUGGAGGAACACCGAUGGCGAAGGCAGCCCCCUGGGUCAAGAUUGACGCUCAUGCACGAAAGCGUGGGAGCAAACAGGAUUAGAUACCCUGGUAGUCCACGCCCUAAACGAUGUCUACUAGUUGUCGGGUCUUAAUUGACUUGGUAACGCAGCUAACGCGUGAAGUAGACCGCCUGGGGAGUACGGUCGCAAGAUCGAAAACUCAAAGGAAUUGACCGNNGAGAGNGCGAGCGACGACGAGGGAGAGG
rnacentral:rRNA from 1 species